rnacentral:rRNA from 1 species
CCUACGGGUUGCACCAGUCGAGAAUUUUUCUCAAUGGGGGAAACCCUGAAGGAGCGACGCCGCGUGGAGGAUGAAGGUUUUCGGGUUGUAAACUCCUGUCAUUGGUGAACAAGAAUUCGUGGUUAACUGCCAUGGGUUUCGAUAGUAGCCGAAGAGGAAGGGACGGCUAACUCUGUGCCAGCAGCCGCGGUAAUACAGAGGUCCCAAGCGUUGUUCGGAUUCAUUGGGCGUAAAGGGUGCGUAGGCGGCGAGGUAAGUCUGAUGUGAAAUUCCAGGGCUCAACCUUGGACCUGCAUUGGAUACUGCCUUGCUAGAGUACUGGAGAGGAGACUGGAAUUUACGGUGUAGCAGUGAAAUGCGUAGAGAUCGUAAGGAAGACCAGUGGCGAAGGCGAGUCUCUGGACAGUUACUGACGCUGAGGCACGAAGGCCGGGGGAGCAAACGGGAUUAGAUACCCCAGUAGUC